rnacentral:rRNA from 1 species
AUACGGAGGAUCCGAGCGUUAUCCGGAUUUAUUGGGUUUAAAGGGAGCGUAGGUGGAUUGUUAAGUCAGUUGUGAAAGUUUGCGGCUCAACCGUAAAAUUGCAGUUGAAACUGGCAGUCUUGAGUACAGUAGAGGUGGGCGGAAUUCGUGGUGUAGCGGUGAAAUGCUUAGAUAUCACGAAGAACUCCGAUCGCGAAGGCAGCUCACCGGGCCGGAACUGACACUGAUGCUCGAAAGUGCGGGUAUCAAACAGGAUUAGAUACCCUGGUAGUCCGCACAGUAAACGAUGAAUACUCGCUGUUUGCGAUACACGGUAAGCGGCCAAGCGAAAGCGUUAAGUAUUCCACCUGGGGAGUACGCCGGCAACGGUGAAACUCAAAUGAAUUGGCGGG